UGGAGGAGGUGUUCUCCGGCUCGGCGGCGUCGAGGCAGAGCGUUAGGGCGGACGAGGAUGAGGAGGCGCUGAGAUGGGCGGCGCUGGAGAAGCUCCCCACCUACGAUAGGCUGAGGAAAACAGUGCUUAAAUCGUUCAUGGAAACUUCGAAUCAAGGGAAAGUUAAGGUUGUCCACAAAGAGAUUGAUGUGAGAAAAAUGGACAUGAAUGAGAAGCAAGAAUUCAUCGACAGAUUCUUCAAAGUUGCUGAGGAAGAUAAUGAGAAGUUCUUGACCAAGUUCAGAGAUCGCAUUGAGAAGUAAGUUUUAUCUUUCAUGCACACCAGUCCAGUUGACAAGUGUUUUAAUUUAUUAAUUCAAGCAACUAAUUAUCAAAUUUCAUAGACACACAUUUCAUUGACUGUGUCUAGAUUUGAAUUUUAUCAUAUGGAGAUAUAUACAUAUAUAUGCAUGAGUUUGACUUGUUAUUUGGUUAUUGCAAUUUGUUAUCUUAGUGAUGAAAUCUUGAAAAUGUUGAUUAUUUUAUUUUUUUAUUUAAUUAUCUUAAGUUGUUACGCGUCGUUUUUGAUUAAUAGUCAGAUCUUGUAGCCGAGAUUAUUGUUGGUGGGUGUUGUUGUUGCAAACUGAAAACGAAGGCUAACCAAUUAUGUAUUUUGUUAAAAUUAUAAGUUCAAAUUAAAAUUUGUAUUUAUGACGUUAUAUGUUAAUUUUGUUAAUGCAUUUACCGAUUUUGAUGUAACUUUCUGUUUCUAUUUAACGUAAACAACGUGUGCAUUGUGAUGGUUUUACUUUUGUACUAGUAUCAUGAAUUUAAUCUGAACUACUUACAAAAUUAUAAAAUGACAAAUUCGAAUUAAUGCCACGGUUUGGAAGUUUCCUUGGCAAGGAAUCUAGAUAUUAACGAUGAGCUCCCUGCCCCUACAUGUUUUCAUAUAAUUAAUUUAAUAAAAAUGCAAGUUGAAGUAACAAGAUGCAUAUACAUAUAAUACAAAAAACCUUCACAUCACAAUAGUUCAAUGCUUAAUAUAUAAAUAAUUAAUGUUGUGAUUAAUUUGACAGAGUCGGAAUUUCGUUACCUACUGUUGAAGUGAGAUUUGAACACUUGAGCGUGGAAGCGGACUGCUUCGUCGGAGAUAGGGCGCUUCCGACGCUGAUCAACACGGCCCGUAACAUCGGCGAGAUGGCCUUG
rnacentral:lncRNA from 1 species